AACGCACGAGACCUGCGGACCUGCGGAGGGAUCAUUAGUGAACGCCCUCACGGGCUUAUAGCUAUUCCAAACCUCUGUGAACCGUGCCCUUCGGGGCUAUUUUACAAACAUGGUGUAAUGAACGUCAUAUAUCAUAACAAAACAAAACUUUUAGCAAUGGAUCUCU
rnacentral:misc_RNA from 1 species